GUUGGUUGGUUCGUAACACGGAUAGCAGUUUUGAUUCAUAGAAUACCCGACAAAUAUGCAUUCGGUAGAUUUGGCUUCCAGUUUGUUCUUUCGAUAGGGUCGAAAACACGGGUACCACCUACCUAAUCAAUUUUGGGACUACGGCAUCUAAUAGAUUUCUCGGCAUUAAGACCCUUCUUGAAAAAUCGAAGGGGCAUAGAACGACGAGGUAAACAUAUAAAAAUUCUGUCAUGUUUUCAACUCGACCCUUAACAAUCUUAAUAGUUAUUGUAAUCAGUUGAGUUGACGUGUUUUGUCAAUAUUGAUGACAGGGCUAAUCCUCAUAAGAUUUAUUAACUCAUUCUAAUGUAAAUAAACAUAUAUACAAGCUACAAAAAAUGAUAUUCGUAAAUUAUUCAGACGGAUUCAGAUAUCUGUAAUAUCUGCAAUAUAAAUUGGCUUUUGGAUAUCUGGAUUGUCCUAAUUAUACGGAAUUAUCUAAUGGUCCUUAAAUAUAUUGAAUAAGGAUAAAAUUUGAACAUAUGAUAUAACUUUAUUUAUUAAUGAUCGAUUAUUAUGAUUUAUAGGCAUCGGACGAUAAACGUGGUCGUGGAUGAACGGCCAAAGGUACAACUCGCUG
rnacentral:lncRNA from 1 species